ensembl:lncRNA
GCCUGGUCUACAGUUCCAGGACGACUAUAAAGCUACACAGAGAAAUGUUGUCUCAAACCAGAGAGACCACUUUUAUGUGUGUGUGCCACCUGUGUGCCUGGUGCCUACAGUUAAGAAGAAGGGUGUUGGGUUCCCUAGGACUGGAAUUACCAAGAGUUGUGAACUGCCAUGAGUGCUGGGUAUUGAAGCUAGAUCCUCUGGAAGAAAACCCCAAAGAGACCACCAGGAACCUCAACUCCAAUGCAAACACAUGACAGCUUUAUUCAAGCUCAAGCUUGGGACACAAAUCUUCCUGAUGCAACAGGAGGGAGAUUGACCCUGAAACCACAGGCAGAGGCUUCCAAGCCUUGGCAUCACAUGGGAGGGUAAAGAAUUUUGGCCCUUAAGGGGUUUACAGCACCUGGUUAAACCUCAAGGAGGGAGUAUACAUCAAAAAGGAGAGCCUUGACUUGGGAAAGACUAAUAUUCAUAGCCCACUCUGUUAUCAGCCAGCUGCAGCUGCGGUGUCUAUUUUACAGCUGCCAGGGACAGUUUGUGAUUUUCCUCAGACCUCAGGGGUUGGGGACCACGCCUCUCUAAGGGCAAGUUAACUUAAAAUGGAGUUUAUUCUGCUACCUCAGUCUUUUCUCUUCAUACCCAGUGACAUCUCUCCAGCCUCCAGAGACUUGUUUAAAUAUGGAAUCAUGUCAGAGUCUCAGAUCUGAGAAAGACGAGAAAGAAACAAUGCUUUCUGUGUAUCUGUCCACUAAUAAGCCCACAAUAUAAGAUUUGUCCCAGGAUGACACAUUUGUGUUCGUACUAAGACAUACUAAGGUCACUCAGCUGUCUGCAAUUAUACUGCCAUUAAAAAAAAAAGUAAUAGUAACUUCAAACCAGAACUCAAACUCCAGUGCAUUCACAUUGUACAAAAGUCUUAAACCAAAAAGGAACACAAGUGAGAACUGAAGGCCUCACUGGUUGUAACCUUUUAAGGCAAAAAGGGAUCGAAUGGAGGCCAGCCUUGACUACACAAAAUCCUAUUUUACAGUGUGUGUGUUGUGUGUGUGUGUGUACUUCACCUCUCAAGGCUUAUGUGUCUUGUGUUCUAGUUAGUUCUGUAUGUCAUCAACUAUUUUACAACAUGUGCUGGAAAAUCACACUUUAUACUAAUGGCAGAAAAUUAGUGAUCACAAAAAUCCCUGACACCUGGGGGGAGGGCGAGGAGGGAAGACAGCAGGGAAGGCUCCUCAAGGAAAGCCAGAUGAAGCAUGGAGAAACCUCAAGAGUUUCUUGACAACACUUAUUCACUUAAAGGCCAUGGAUAAAACAAAAACAAAAGAACCUCAAAAGCCUCCGUCCCCCAAGAAAAAUUAGUUCUCAAAGUGAUCCUUGUGAUUUUUAGUGUAAAUAUAAGAUGAGUUUGAUGAUCAGAGUUGCUGACCGAGGAAUUAAUUGCUGGGAAGUACCGCAAACAGGCGAGGCCGAAUCUCUCUUAAUGCUAUAAUUAUAGUAACAGAAAACCAUAGAAGCAGCAUCAACCACCAGAAUGAUUUAAAUAUGGUCCCUUUCUGGAGUAUGCACUCAGUGAGACUAACAGCAUGGGAAAACGGAUGCGGUGUGUCAACAGAAAAAAAAAAAAAAAA